CCCUUAGAUGUUCUGGGCCGCACGCGCGCUACACUGACGAAUGCAACGAGCUUAUAACCUUGGCCGAAAGGUCUGGGUAAUCUCCAAAUUUCGUCGUGAUGGGGAUAGAUUAUUGCAAUUAUUAAUCUUCAACGAGGAAUGCCUAGUAGGCGCAAGUCAUCAGCUUGCGUUGAUUACGUCCCUGCCCUUUGUACACACCGCCCGUCGCUCCUACCGAUUGAAUGGUCCGGUGAAGCGUUCGGACCGUGGCCUUUGGACGGUUCGCCGUCUGUUGGCUGCGGGAAGUUCGUUAAACCUUAUCAUUUAGAGGAAGGAGAANUCGUANCA
rnacentral:rRNA from 1 species